rnacentral:rRNA from 1 species
GUCCACGCCGUAAACGAUGAUCACUCGUGAUUGGCGAUACACGGUCAGUCACCUAGCGAAAGCGUUAAGUGAUCCACCUGGGGGAGUACGAUCGCAAGAUUGAAACUCAAAGGAAUUGACGGGGGCCCGCACAAGCGGUGGAGCAUGUGGUUCAAUUCGAUGAUACGCGAGGAACCUUACCAGGGCUCGAACGCACGUAGACAGUCGCGGAAACGUGAUCUUCUUCGGACUGCGUGCGAGGUGCUGCAUGGCUGUCGU